GGGUGAGUAACGCGUGGGCAACCUGCCUUACACAGGGGGAUAACAGUUAGAAAUGACUGCUAAUACCGCAUAAGACCACAAAACCGCAUGGUUUGGUGGUAAAAACUCCGGUGGUGUAAGAUGGGCCCGCGUCUGAUUAGGUAGUUGGUGGGGUAACGGCCUACCAAGCCGACGAUCAGUAGCCGACCUGAGAGGGUGACCGGCCACAUUGGGACUGAGACACGGCCCAGACUCCUACGGGAGGCAGCAGUGGGGAAUAUUGCACAAUGGGGGAAACCCUGAUGCAGCGACGCCGCGUGAGCGAUGAAGUAUUUCGGUAUGUAAAGCUCUAUCAGCAGGGAAGAAAAUGACGGUACCUGACUAAGAAGCCCCGGCUAACUACGUGCCAGCAGCCGCGGUAAUACGUAGGGGGCAAGCGUUAUCCGGAUUUACUGGGUGUAAAGGGAGCGUAGACGGCUUGGCAAGCCAGAUGUGAAAGGCUGGGGCUCAACCCCAGGACUGCAUUUGGAACUGUCAUGCUAGAGUGUCGGAGAGGCAGGCGGAAUUCCUAGUGUAGCGGUGAAAUGCGUAGAUAUUAGGAGGAACACCAGUGGCGAAGGCGGCCUGCUGGACGAUGACUGACGUUGAGGCUCGAAAGCGUGGGGAGCAAACAGGAUUAGGUACCCUGGUAGUCCACGCCGUAA
rnacentral:rRNA from 1 species